AAUCUUUCUCAAGACUUGCCACAAACUUUCCUUAAGUUUGAUUUUAUGAUUUUUUUUUUUUUUUACGGAUAGGUAUCAAAAUAAUACUUUUAAUUCUGUAUUCUAGAUAAUUUGCACCUCUAUAAUUGGGCAAAAGACAGGGUGGAAUCCCUGAAUCGAGUAACUAAUAAUUUGGGUCAGUGGCUCAGCGCUCGCUCUAAUUUGUUGUCAAGUAUUCUGUACCAAAAAAUGGGAUUAUUUCAUAAUCAGCCAAUCAUCAGGCAGAUACAGAAUCAGUCUAAUAACCCCUACAACACAGUCGUCACGGAUGUCGAAAAUUUAACGCACUUUCCUGCACAUCCACCUCGACCACGCAGCAGUGCUGCUCUCCAUCCAUCCCUGUUGGAGGCAUUUCGCAACACUAUUCUCUUACCAAAAAAAGGCUCUAAAUCUGUAGCGGAUCCAGUCGUUAGAAACACCCAGCAAAUGCUCAACAUUCUUAAAAGUGAUUCCAAAGAACAACAGAAAAAACUGUAUACAAUGUGGCAGACAAGAGGCUCAACACCAAACAUUCCAAUGGCUCCUGAAAUUCUCGAACUUUUCAUCCAGAAUGCUCGCACUAUCCAUUUCUGCAUUACGCCUCUUUUGUUUUACCUAGGUAUGGUCUAAAAUUUCAUCGCUUGAUAUUGGUGCAUUUGGUCAACUUUUACCUUGAUUUUUAGACAGAUUUUAUUUGUGUUAUACAUUCCAUGUAA
rnacentral:lncRNA from 1 species